GGGUUAGCAUUCCGUAUAGCAGUUCGUGGGUUGCGUUUCAAUGUCAGGAAACCACACCCACCAAUAGCUUUGCAUGUGAAAUACCGGUGCGUGGGAGUUUCUCCCAGUUUUAAUUUCGCGUUAACUGUCUGCCUUCGAAAAACGUGAAAAUUUCCCACUGUACGGUAAUAGGUAAUUGAAAAUAAUAGGCAUCAAUGUCCAUGCACUUUUGGUAAAAACAUUAUUGCAAUGAAUGUUACAAGUCAGCAAGAUAACAAAUACAGUUGUGUUCAUUUUUGUACGUCUUAAAUGAAUAGAAUAAUAGGUGAAAAAAGUAUAAUUAAUUAUCAGAGCCUACAUGUAUGUAUAUUGGAUACUCCAAGGUUGAAAGGUCGGAGAAAAAACCAUAUAGUUAGCUGUUCUAAUGGUUGGUUCAAUUUCACAUUAUGCAAUUGUUAUAAAAAUUAAUGAUCAUUAUGGCCGUGCAUGCAACAAAUACAUAAACUCAUGCAAAAUAACUCCUUGGGUGAGAUCAAGAAGGGGCCUUCUAUCUUUGUUUGUUCUUACUCUUCCUGGUUGAUACUUUCGCGGCAUCUACACAUACAAAGAGAAAGUUGAGAUGGUGGAAAGUAGUUCACAUAAACCCUAAGUACAUGUAACAAGUACCACUAACAAACGUACAUAAUUAUAUGCACCCAAUGACUUAAUGUGCGCAUCAUUGUAAAAAAUAUAUGGCCCCCUGAAAGUUGGUGUGUUCUUCUGAAAAUUAUAAUUCGAUGUAUUAUAAAUUAUGGCUUCAUUUGGUAAUAAUAGGGGGUGACAGAUUCUUUUCCUUCGACCUUUCAAAACCGACUGCUCGGAAUGUCGUUAAAUUUUUUUAGGGUGUAUGCUAGGGCACCCUAGCUUAUUUAUGAACUGUGAAAUUUGGGGGCUCCAAUGGAUAUGUAGUGACAUCUGAUUCACGUUCAUCUGCACACUGCACACUGAUAGGAGGCGAUCUUUUCACAAAAAUUGAGACAAUAACGAGUUGAUCCUCUUCACUUGCACUCUUUACUCACUAUUAACCAAUUCUGUGCAUUGCGUAAACGUCAUCAAUUGUGAGUUGCUCACGUGCAGUUGACAAGAUGUCACGUUACUUUGUGCACAGUUUUUGUGUAGAGGUAUCAGUAGUUCGACACUCUAGCUUGAACAAGGACAACCUCUGUGCAACUAAUAAUUUAUUAGCAGCAGUUAAUUUUUAUAGUGCACUAGUGCAUUUGUCACAUCUGCCAAGCCUUGCUUACAAAAAAAUUUAUGGCUCGUUGCAAUCCCUUUGAUUUACCUGGGCACUAUUGGAGAAGUCGCAAGAACAACUUAAGACCUGUCACUGAAUGGAUGUGUGAGAAAGCUCCACGACUUUCUAUUUCCUCCAAGAUCUAUGACACCUAGCCGAAAGAAGAUUAGCAAUCAGAUACCACCACUUCAACCCCUUCUCCCUGAACCUGCUUCCCCAUCACCGACUGUAAUAUUGACAAUGUGCCAACAUCUGUCUCCACCAAUGAAGGGAAGAAAUUGUUGAAACACCUUAUUCCAAGAGUAUAAAGUCCGUGGAAAAACUAAACAUGAAGAGGAUUACAGAAGCAAUGCAGCACACAGUUAUCACUGGCAAAAUUUUAGCUCAAAGAAGUAACAUCAAAAACAAAUGAACGUUAGCAAAUUCUCACUGUUUUGCCGACGGUGCAUGAAGAAGAUUCAGGAGGAAUUAGCACAAAGGUCAAAGAAGAUUGUCCCUAAUUCCAAGCCCAAAAACUGAUCAUUCGAUCACUUGUGGUAGACUGUUGAUUUUGUCCACUAUGAUAAUAUAUAUAUGUAUCAGUAUGGUAUGAAAGAUUUCGUAUCUGUUAGAAAAACGGCAAGCAUACCCAUAUUCAAGUUCUAAGCAACUUAAAAGAGGCAUACAGCAAGUUUAAUUAAGCAGAAAUUCCCUGAUCAAAAGGUUGGCUUUUCGAGCAUUAUGGCACACACUCAGUGUGUGUGUGCACUAGUCUAUACAUCAAAACGUGAAAUUAUGAGAUGCGACUGUCAGCUAGACCAAUAUUGUUUAGCAAGAAUCAUGUGGUAUCUUGUAUGUAAGGCUUGAGUAAGAUCUGUGUCUGCUGUGCCUGCUGUGUCCUCAGUGCCUUUUGUGUCCUCAGUCUGACUGUCUGCUGUGUCCUCAGUAUCUGCUGUGUCUGCAGUGUCCGCUGUGUCCUCAGUAUGCCGUGUCCUCUGUGUCUGCUGUGUCCACAGUGUCUCUUGUGUCUGCAUGCAGUUGUCUGCUGUGUCGUCUGCAUGGUUGUAAUUAUUUUAUCUCUCUAAACAUAGUUCUCAUACAGUGGAUCCUGUGCUAUUGUAUUUCGUUUAACCUUAGCAAUGCAGUCUUGGUUACUGAGCCGCCUUAUUCCUUCUUGAAGAUGACCUAACAUUGGAGCAAUUAUACCUUCUCAUGCUGGAGAUCACAGACCAUCUAUUUGCCCCUGACAUUUAGACAGAUGAAGUUGCUUACUAGCUUUUUGUGAGUUCUACCCUGCUGCUAUUGUAAUUCCAAAAAUGCACUAUCUGAUCUGAUACAUGCACCGACACUGAUCAUGGAGUAAGUGUGCAUGUGCAUAAACACUGAUCAUGGAGUAAGUGUGCAUGUGCAUAAAAAGUAUACAAUAUAUACAUGAACUGUCACAAAAAUGUUGGUCCGCCGAUAAUUUCAGUACCCGGACUGAAAUGUUCGGUCCCCCGGACCAAUUUUAGCUGAUAAUGUUGGUUCGCCAAUCUGAUAGAAGAGGUAUUCCACUAUGUCACCACCAAGGAGUACCCUGAUGACUGUAAAGAGGGAAAAAAAAGGGUCAUCAGAAGAAAGGCCAAGCAAUUUGUAUUGAACAAUGGUGACUUCAUGUACAAACACAAGAGAACGGACAGAGUGCGUUGGUGUAUCUGUAAUGUAGUUGAAAUUACAAUCAUUACAAGAGUGGCCAUCUCUAGGUAUAUAUAACGCGUCAUCUAUGUUCGAUUCUUCUGGUAUUAUAGCUCCUAUUGCCUUCUCAAUCUUGAUGUGUUGAUCCAAUACAUUAUCAACCGAAGAGAGAGAAGGAAGAUACUGUUUGCUUGCCAAGUUGAUGAAACAUCUGGACGUAUGGGGGUGACUCGCACACUUGCCCGAAUUAAGGAGCGUUACAUAAAGGACGUGAAAGAAAUGGUGUCUGUCUACUUGUGACAUUUGCCAGUGAGUUAAUCAAAAGCUAACCACUGGCAGACCCGAACUUCACCCCAUCCGUGUGCAGUUUCCUUGGUACAUGCUAGGAAUUGAUUUUGUUGGUCCUCUCUCUCCAAUUGCUAACGAUGGUUCCCGCUACAUCUUAACCAUGAGCGAUUACUUUACCAAGUGGGUAGAAGCUAUUCCUACACCUGACAAGAGUGCAUCAUCAGCAGCAACAUCAUUGUUCAAGAUCAAGGAUGUGAAUUCAACAAUGAUUUAGACACUAUAGUCUCUGUUCUCUCCUGGGGAUACAGCGUCACCUUACAACUCCUUACCGCCCCCUCAGACUAACGGCUUGGACGAGCGUUUCAAUCAGACAACACUGCAAAACAUGCUAGUGAAGUUUAUGCGUGAAGACUGAAGUAGCUACCUGGACACAUGUGUUUUCGCAUACAAUACCUCUCGUCAUAAUUCAACGAAGUUUACUCUUUUUAAACUUAUGUUCAAUCGUCAAGACAGUCUCAAGCAUUUCUCCUGACCAAGCUGCUCGCGAGUAUCAGCAGUAAAUGCCCAAUCUAAAUGUUACACGUACUCGUGAACACAAUCAUGUGCGACUGAGCCAAGCAAAAACCAAUAUUCUUGCCGCCCAGAAGGAAUUGUAUGGUAAGAAACAUGUACAGCCUGAGAGAUAUAAUUUAUGGUUGGUCAAUUAGUCCUGAAACUAAAUCAUACUCGCAAAAAGACGAAAGGUGGGAAGCUGAAGAGGAGGUACACUGACCCUUAAAAAGUCAUCUCUGUUAAACCAUGCACGAGGUGCAUAUGAGAUAAGCGAUGGAUCAAACACAGUACUAGUGUCAGGACCCCAUCUCAAGUCGUACAAUGAUCCACCUACUUGCGAUUCUGGAUCAAUAGACUCUGCUCACUCUCCUCCUAAGGACUCUGCUCACCUGGAAUCCCCUCUUGAGGACUCCGCUCACACGACCUCCGCUCACCUGGAAUUGAGGACUCCGCUCACAUGGAGUCUCCUAAUGAGGACUCCGAUCACCUGGAAUCUGCUCAUUUGGACUUUGCUGAAUUACACCCCCCAUCAUAAUGAGGACUCCCCUAAGGUGGACUUUGCUCAACUGGACAUCACUUGUCUGGACUCUCAUCAUGACAUUUGAACAUUGCUCAAUUACACCCCCAUCCAAGAUUGUUUGUCACCAAUAGCACACAAUGGUACAAGUGGCUAGUUUCAGCCAGAUGAACCAUCAUUCUCGAUAUGGAUGAAAAAUGGCUACCGGCACCAAUGCUAUCUCUUAGCCAAAUGAUAUCAAAAACACCGCAACCUCAGUUUUGCAGCACACCAAAACGGCCCAGAUCUCGAACUCCAACAGUUCAGGGUGAAAUCAAGAAGAGGCGGCGUAUUCUCUCUUUGGCAACUCAUCAGAUGACUUCUCUCAUGUCACAACCCUGAAAUCGAUUCAAACUUCUUCCUUGAAAUCGAGUGAGACCCCCGUGUCGCACCCCUGAAGACCACUCGUGUCACGAAGACCCCCCUCCUCUGAAAUCAAGUGAGACCCCUCCGUGGCGCACCUCUAAAAUCGAUCAUAUCACACCCUCCUUCAAGCCGACUCAUCAGAACGUAACUCAGAGGAUGUUUAAUUGUAGGCAGGCCAAAAUACCUCAAACGGUCAUUGAGUGAUCAAGGAAGAACAUCAUUGAUGUAGACACUUCUCAUAGAUUGAAUAGGGAGAAACGGAAGUAGCGUCACGUGAGUUCGUACAGGUCGUAAACAAUCACCAUGGCCAUUGGCUUUGGCUCACAGUCUCUACUAUCGGUACUCGUUCACCCAGUGGUUAAUGUGUAUGACAGUAUGUAUCGGUUUGGAGUCAAAGCUCAGAUUGCAACUUUAGAGGCCAAAGAAAUCACUCUUAACUUCAUGAAUGUACAUAUUCAGGCAGGAGGAUGUGACUGUGGCUUGUUUGCUAUAGCCAAUGCAACAGCUCUUGCUUUUGGCCACUCACCUGGAAGCUUCCAGUACAAUCAAAAUAAAAUGAGGCAGCACUUGUUUUCUUGCUUUCAAAAGCAUUAAGAAGUAUCGUUGUGCUCCUGACUCAAUUGUGUCAAUCGAUAUACAUACCCCGUGUACUGCCUGUGCAGAAUGCCAGAGUUGGCGACUAUAGAAAACUGGGUGGAAUGCAGCACAUGCAAGGAGUGGUACCAUUACGGCACCUGUGUGAACGUUCCUGCCGCUUUUCUCAAAAAAUCAGCUGUUUGGCACUGUAUGCAGUGUCUAAACCACCCUAAGACGUAACUGUUAACCGUCCAUAAAUUAUGAACCAUGCACCCGUCUCUUUAUGUAUCUAUUCCCGGACAGAACUUCGGCAUUAUAAUUAUACGUAGUAGUAGUAACAUUAUUUUAUCAAGCUGUAAAACUGUCAAUCGUUAAUAGAUCUUUGUUUUGAAACAGUUGAAAACUGAGUAUUAAGAAUGUGGAGGCCUCAAGGUUCACAUGCAGCUCUAUCUAGUACACCUGGCUGACAAGCUAGGCUGUACAUGUAAUUCCUGAAUAUUAUGUGACUGCUUGUAUGUGCGUAUUUAUAAUUAUGUCGUAAAGAGGACACUAGGUUGCCCUACAUACGCUCCUGGUCCAGAGACGUCUUUUUAUACUAGCGCAACAAAAUAUUGUCUAUAGCUGGACUGAUUAUUUCAGGGGGGGACCAAUUUUUUCAGGCCAGUGACCCUGAUUAUCGAUUGUUAGUUAACUCCCAAGGUGGAGUUAUAGCGCAUGUAGCCAACUUUUACUUGUAGGCACCUCUUCUCAGGUAUGCGCUAAAAUGCCAAACACUCCUACGUCAAGGCACUGAUCUAGACAACUACAUAAAUGCCAGUUGGAGUCUUGCUAAAAGACAUUAGCUUUUGCAGUGCUACGUUUAUACGGU